GCCCGUCUAGCUCAGUCGGUAGAGCGCAACGCUCUUAACCUUGUGGUCGUGGGUUCGAGCCCCACGGUGGGCG
rfam:Gossypium hirsutum cultivar TM-1 unplaced genomic scaffold scaffold4561.1, whole genome shotgun sequence